rnacentral:rRNA from 1 species
UGUUUGUUGCAGUAAAUAUAAUCCCAGCUUUCUCUCGCUCAAGAAAAGAGAAAACAAGAAACGCAACAUCAAAGAGUUAAGACCGCGGCGGCUUCACAGGAAGCUACGUAUCGUCAGACAGACAGCGCCCAAAUUUGCAGAUCUCUCGGCGGCUCCGCAACGAGCAACCGGCGCUAGCUGCUCCCCUUCCCUCCCGCGUGCCGACGGAAGCUGUAGGCACCAUGUCGAUGUUCCCAGGGAUGGAUCUUACUAAAAUGGAUGCUCCAACUCUUACCCUCCUUGGAGCAGCUUGUUGUGUAAUGUUAUCUAUGCAUUUCACAGUGCAGCUGGUAUCACAACAUCUUUUCUACUGGAAAAAUGCCAAAGAGCAGAAGGCCAUACUCAUUAUUGUGCUAAUGCCUCCACUGUAUGCCAUAACUUCCUUUGUUGGUCUUCUGGAUAUUAAGGGAAGCAAAGCGUUUUUUACAUGCUUGGAGUCUGUUAAAGAAUGCUAUGAGGCACUGGUUAUUGCUAAGUUUCUGGCAUUGAUGUACAGCUACUUAAAUAUAUCUAUUAGCAAAAAUAUUGUACCUGAUGAAAUCAAAGGGAGGGUGCUUCAUCAUUCUUUCCCUGUUUCUCUUUUCCUGCCCCGCAAUGUUCGGCUGGAGCACAAGACAUUAAAGCUUCUGAAGUACUGGACCUGGCAAUUUGUUGUUGUUAGGCCUGUAUGCUCCAUUCUGAUUAUUGCACUUCAGCUUCUUGGGCUGUACCCCAGCUGGGUCAGCUGGACGUUCACAAUUAUACUGAACUUUUCAGUCUCCAUGGCAUUAUAUGCCUUGGUCAUAUUCUAUCACUUGUUUGCUAAGGAGUUGGCACCUCACAAGCCUCUUGCGAAGUUCUUGUGCAUCAAAGGGAUUGUCUUCUUCUCUUUCUGGCAGGGCUGUGCACUGGAUAUUUUGGCUGCUGUAGGGGUGAUUCAGUCUCACCAUUUCUGGCUGGACGUGGAGCACAUCCAGGAGGCAAUCCAGAAUAUCUUGAUUAUCCUGGAAAUGGUCAUCUUCUCAGUCCUCCAGCAAUAUGCGUACCACGUCGCUCCGUACAGCGGCGCUGACAAGGCGAAAUCCGUGAAGAAGAACGAAUGAUCCAGGGCUUCGUGCCAAGCAACGUCUUCCGCUGGCUCUUGUAUGAUUUUGUGUGUAUGUGCUGGGAGUAUUGAUUCAAAGAUGUUAUAGGACGUGUAUUUCCUUGUGGACACGUGUAGAGUCGUCGUUAUACCUUGAACAUUAGAAAAACGAGAUGAUCAGGAACAAGAUAUAGGAAUGCUACUGUUGUUACCGUGCUGUGAGACUAUGUAAUGCCCGAAUAAGGAGAAUUUUGGGGGUUUCCUGCCCCGAAUUGCGCCCAGAAUAAAUGGUGGUUUACUGUCGCCAAGAUCAUCGCGUGUCACUGCAUGAUUGUUCCAAAACUUGUCUGAAAUUAUCACAGUGCUAUGAGUCCAGGUAUGGUUUGGAUGGCAUUGUUGUCGCAUCUCUCUGCAUACAUAGGUGGUACCUGAAAGGGGAGGGCACCGCACACAGUGGC